CCCGCCCCAGGAGCCGAGCCAGCCACGAGGAGGGCCGGCCCGUUGCAUCCACCGAGUCCGCGGCGGGAACCAUGCAGCUCCUGGUGAGGGUGCCGUCUGUCCCGGAGCGGGGCGAGCUGGACUGCAGCAUCUGCUACCGGCCCUUCAACCUCGCGGGCCGCGCGCCCCGCCGCCUGCCCGGGACGGCGCGCGCCCGCUGCGGCCACACGCUCUGCACCAAGUGCCUGCGCGAGCUGGCGGCGCGCGGCGACGGCGGCGGGGCGGCCGCGCGUGUGGUGCGCCUGCGCCGCGUCGUCACGUGCCCCUUCUGCCGCGCGCUCACGCCGCUCCCGCGCGGCGGGGUCAUGGAGGUCUCCGUGGACCCGGACUUGUGGUCGCGGCUGGAGGAGAGGGCGCGGGCCGAGCGCAAGCCGGAGGAGGCCGGCGGCCCGGUCGCGGGAGGCGGCGAUGCCGACGACGAAGAGGAGAGAGAGGAGGGGGCGGGACCCAGGAGCGCGGGCUGGCGCGCGCUCCGGCGGCUGUGGGAGCGGGUGCUGGCGCCCGCGCACCGCUGGCGGCGGCCGCUGCCUAGCAACGUGCUGUACUGUCCGGAGAUAAAGGACCUGGCCCGCAUGAGCCGCUGCACGCUGUGACCGCGGAGCCCAAAGCCGCGGCGGAAGGAAGGUGGGCGCUGCAUUCUCGGGGCGCGCUGGAGUGCAGGGUGCUGGUAUGCCCGUCUCCCCAGACCGGUAGUGUGUUCCUAAAAUUACUGAGAUGCCUCCGUGCCUUACUUCCUUUCACAGUCUCCCCGUGAGGGCAGGUAUCACAGGGUCCAAAGGGCAUUCUUCUGAGCCACCUACUUAGGGCCCUCAGGGCUAGGAAAGCCAUUUGGUAAAGGCAUCGCAUUUUAAUCCUUUUGAUAUUAUUUGUCAUCUUUACAGUCACAGGGAGAACACCGUCCCUACUGAAAAAAAGAUGCGUAUCAUACAGUUAGAAUUACUUUUUUAAGAGCGAGCACUUGAGGGGUUGGGAGGGACGGGAGAGGGAGGAGGAGGAGCUCAGGCAGGCUCUCUGCUGAGCCCGGAGCCUGACUUGGGGCUCGCUCUCAUGAUCCUGACUGACAUCAUGACCAGAGGCUGAAACCAAGAGUCAGAAGCUUAACGCACUCAGGCGCCCCUUCUCAUGCAGUUUUAAACUCGUGCCCCCUAAUUGGACAUCGCCUGGUGUAUGCCGUGGAUUGUUUUAAAAUCCUGUGACUACCUGAGGAUACGGUUACAGUCAGGAGCCGCAGCAUCACUGGAAUUACAGAAUCUCAGGAUCCCACUUCAGACUCUUGAGUUUUAGCAAGAACCCCAGGUGAUCCGUAGGCACGUAAACAUCGAAGCAGCACUGAUGGAGGUCCCGGACUUGCUAGGAUGUCACCUUCCGUGGGGGGAAUAUUGAAAAGUUGGUACAAAGGAUAUACAUUUUAUUGGAAGUUGUAAAGGGACAUUCUGUUGCUGAAGCAAUCUUUGUGUGGUUUAAUUAUUAUGUGACAUUUCCCUGAGUUACCAAUGUGAAUUUAUGAAAUAGAAACCUGUUUUUAUGACCGUAUUUUGGCAUUUUCCUGUGCUUGUCUCAGCUUAAAUGUUUCCUCUUGCGGGAGGCCUUUCCCAGUGUUCCUCUGAGUGUAGCCCCCUCCCCCACAGGUGCUGUUCCAGAAUGCCUUUGUUUUCCGAGAGGAUGUGUUUUGUGAGUGUGAGGGAGGCAAGAGCAGUGACUGCCUUGUGCGUGUUGUGUGUCCAGGCUGAACAGUAGUGGUUAACAUGUACUGUGUACUCAAUAAACAUUUGUUGGA